UUUAAUAUCCCUGUCAGUUUCAAUUUGACCAAACUUUAUUUGUGCAGCUUCACUUUGUGGAAUAACAACCCAGUUCUUGAAAGACUUUUAAAACUUAUACUAAAAUAAAAUAAAUUUUUUGUAUAUUUCAUAAUACGCUUUUACACUUGACCCCUUGACCCCACAGACACCCUGGAUCUUUCUAUAAUAGUUCCUGGCUGUAAAUGGUGACAGAUCGUCUGAGCUUAUGUACAGUAGCAGGGGAGACGUUUUUUUAAGUCUUUCGUUCUUAUGUCUGUUAAAUAAUUAUCACAGAUUUAAAUUUGUGAAAUCUUUUCCAAGAUAUGUCGUGUCGACCUGAUAAGAAAUACUGCAGGUGGAUAAUGUUUGACAGGAUUCAUGUACUCAAGGUUCAAAGGUCAGUGCUUCCUUCAACAUCAACUACUACACUUCACUGACUUCUCUCUGGGACUCAGAGGAAAUUCAGCUGCAGGUCCUCAUCAUGGUGGAGCUGGCGUUCUACCCAGGGGUUGCUCUGAUGUAUUUUUUUGGCGUCAUGCAAGCGUCGAAGGACGACCGGGUGGAGCUGGACGACCGGGCGUCGAUGAAUGUGUUCUGUCUGUUUGUGCUGGCUCAACCACUGUGUCUGGUGAUAGGAGGAUACACCGGCAUGGCUACGUACCUGAUCACAGCUCUGGUCUCCUACAACGUCCUGCCCUGGAGGAAAACCAAAGAGUCUGCGAAGGAGAAGGAAUCACAGAAGAAGACAAAGUGAAAAACACUGUGAAGACAAAUGAAAUCAUGGUUGUUUUUCUGUUUCAUAUGUGAUGUAUCGUUGUUUCUUAUUUUUUUAGUGCAAAUAAAAAAUCCUAAAUCAGCA